CCUACGGGAGGCAGCAGUGAGGAAUAUUGGUCAAUGGACGAGAGUCUGAACCAGCCAAGUAGCGUGAAGGAUGACUGCCCUAUGGGUUGUAAACUUCUUUUAUAUGGGAAUAAAACGUUCCACGUGUGGGAUUUUGUAUGUACCAUAUGAAUAAGGAUCGGCUAACUCCGUGCCAGCAGCCGCGGUAAUACGGAGGAUCCGAGCGUUAUCCGGAUUUAUUGGGUUUAAAGGGAGCGUAGGUGGAUUGUUAAGUCAGUUGUGAAAGUUUGCGGCUCAACCGUAAAAUUGCAGUUGAAACUGGCAGUCUUGAGUACAGUAGAGGUGGGCGGAAUUCGUGGUGUAGCGGUGAAAUGCUUAGAUAUCACGAAGAACUCCGAUUGCGAAGGCAGUUCACUGGACUGCAACUUACACUGAGGCUCGAAAGUGUGGGUAUCAAACAGGAUUAGAUACCCCUGUAGUC
rnacentral:rRNA from 1 species